GCCGAAGGGGCGGAGAUGAGUGGAAGGACCGGAAUGGGUGGAGAGAGCGGAAGUGGGGGCCGGGUCGGCCGCGGGAUUUGAAGCCGAAAGGCAGGAUUUAGGCUCAGAAUGGCCGAAGUGGCGGGGCUCGGACUUGGGCGAUGGGAGUAGAGCAGAGAUCACAAGUAGAUGGAGAGGCAGGUAGAGAGAGAGAGAGAGAGGAGGAAGCAGGCUCCCUGCUGAGCAGAGAGUCCGAUGCGGGACUCGAUCCCAGCCCUGAGAUCAUGACCUGAGCCACCCAGGGUCCACGCAAGCGGCGUCAAUGAAAACCUAUCAAAAGCGUGAGUCCUUCGAGCCGGAUUCGAACCAGCGACCUAAGGAUGACCACAGUGAAACAUCUACAGUCCUCCGCUCUACCAACUGAGCUAUCGAAGGAUUGGUGCUAGGGAUGGUUAGAAUACCUCUAAUAAUGUUUAUCCCCGUGGUUUUAAUCAUCUUAAGAAUUACAAGCAAAUGCUUUUUCUAGGAUGCUAGAAUGGAUGGUAGGAUGCUAGGAGUGAUAAUCAUAGAGGUAUAUUGAAAAAUUAAUACACUUGAACACUUAAGUUUUGUGUGUUUUACUUUCUGAUUUAGAUCUUUAAAAAAGAAAAUACCAUCCACGUUCCAUAUCCUGCUUGCUUAUAUAGAAUAUAGAUAGGGCCAUCACCCUUAUUUUUCCUGCUGUCUCUCUGUUUCUUCUACUCACCACCUCUCUAUUAAAAUGGUGGAUAAAUGAUAAUUUAUCCUACAUAUAGACAGCUGGGUUAAAGAGGAAUCUAUUGUCUUGAAGUGGGUAUACUGCUGAGUUCAUUUUGUAAACGUUGCAACCCUUUUUGAAAGACAAUGAAAAUAAUGUAUAGACACAGAAGUACUCCACCCAAAACAUGAGAGGCAGUGUGUGUGUGUGUGUGUGUGUGUGUGUGUGUGUGUUUAGGAAUUGAGUGGCUUAUAUUUAGUGGGGCAAAUAAAUGAAACACCCCUACCCAAUCAAAAAAAAAGUACUGUAGACAUGUGUUUGUAGGGAUGCUGUCUACUGCUAAUGAACACCUUAUAACAGCAUUUGGCUUCCUGGCUGAACACCGGUGAAGAAAGCAAGAAGCCAUCUGGACAGACUUUUCUUGAUGAUGUAUCUAUAGAAAGGCUUUCUGGUGAACUUAAAAAAGAUUAUUUUUUAUUAAAAAUCAAAAUACUUCAUAACUGUAGUCUUGAAAAAACAAAUUUUUCUUCAAAAGGUCCUACCAGUGAUUUCCAUGAGGAAUCUGCAACACAGAAUUCAUAUUUAAUUCAGUUAUUCAGAUCUCUCCUGAGAAACUAAGAACAUAUGGGCUGGUACAUUUCUUUGCAAUAAUUUAAUUUAAUCUGGGGGAAGUGUGAGAAGCUAGAGUAGAAAAGCCUCAGAGAAACGACCAUCGCUUCCAUAUACUGAGUGCUGUGGCAGAGCCUUGAACACCACAAACAUGAAAGCAACCAAACUUUAGGAUCUAAGUUCAUGUUGUCUCUCAAAUAAAAGCUUCCCUAAUUUUCUUUCUUGUUUUUCCAUGGAAAAAAAAUGUUUAAAUUUUACUUAAGUUUCUUCGAACACACACAGAUGGACCCAGUAUUGAUCACACAGGACGCUUCCUAUCAGACAUCUCUCCUCAUCUCAGAAGCCUCCCUUGCUAUAACAUAGCAGCGAAUCCAAAUUUCUUUCUCUUUUCUCUCUUAUAAACUCCCAAACUCUCUCUCUUAGCCAGUGCUCAUUGGCUUUUGACGUUCCAAGUGUCUACUCAUCUUCAGGAUCUGUCCUUUUUCUUGUGUAACUCUGGCUUUUCCAGUAGAUCAGUCAAAACUUUCCUCUUACCUAAUCUACCAGUCUCUCUCUCUCUCUCUUUUUUUUUUUUUAGAGUUUAUUUAAAUUCAAGUUAGUUAACAUACAGUGUAUUAUUAGUUUCAGGGAUAGAAGUUAGUGAUUCAUCAGUCUCAUGGAACAAUACUCAUUCCAUCCAGUGCCCUCCUCAGUGCCCGUCACCCACUCACCACCUCCCCUCCAGCCACCUCCCCUCCAACCCAAUUGGCACAAAGGGA
rnacentral:tRNA from 1 species